rnacentral:rRNA from 2 species
UGGUCUCAAAUCAGGUAGGGCUACCCGCUGAACUUAAGCAUAUCAAUAAGCGGAGGAAAAGAAACUAACAAGGAUUCCCUUAGUAACGGCGAGUGAACCGGGAAAAGCUCAAAUUUGUAAUCUGGCUGUCUUCGAUAGUCCGAGUUGUAAUCUAUAGACGUGUUUUCCGUGCUGGACCGUAUCUAAGUCCCUUGGAACAGGGUAUCAAAGAGGGUGACAAUCCCGUGCUUGAUACGACCACCAGUGCUCUGUGAUACACGUUCUACGAGUCGAGUUGUUUGGGAAUGCAGCUCAAAAUGGGUGGUAAAUUCCAUCUAAAGCUAAAUAUUGGCGAGAGACCGAUAGCGAACAAGUACCGUGAGGGAAAGAUGAAAAGCACUUUGGAAAGAGAGUUAAACAGUACGUGAAAUUGUUGAAAGGGAAACGAUUGAAGUCAGUCGUGUUCUUCAGAUUCAGCUGGUUCUUCCAGUCUACUUCUGUUGAACGGGUCAACAUCAGUUUUGUCCGGUGGAUAAAGAUAGUAGGAAUGUAGCUCCCCCGGGAGUGUUAUAGCCUAUUGUUGCAUACACUGGGUGAGACUGAGGACUGCAGCUCGCCUUUUGGCCGGUCUUCGGACACGUUCGAGCUUAGGAUGUUGACAUAAUGGCUUUAAACGACCCGUCUUGAAACACG